UCCAAGUCAGAGCUUUCACCACACAUGUAGAAGAAAAGCACACUCUAAACUCUUGAAAUAAUCAGAUUUAAAGUCAAAGUGAACGAAUGCAUUGUUUAAUUUAAUGGUGGAAUGUACAAUUCUGAUUUUGUCUGAUCCAUUUAACAGGAACGCUACUUAGAGCUUUGUCUGGGUGCCUGACAUGGAUACGUGUAUGGCUGUAUCACCUUCCAUUUAUCCAGAGAUGUUAAAUUAAAGAGUCUUCUAACAUACAGCGUGUCACUUGAGCUUCACAACAACUCUGUGAGGUAUUGUUCUCCCAUUUUGCAGGUGGUGGAAUCACGCAUUGAAAAUGCCACCAAGAGGAUUCUACAACUCUCUGGAUGUUAUACCAAUGGGCGAUUGGUAUCAGACAGUCAAGAGAACCAACAAUUGAAUUAGAAGAUGAAUAGGCCACAAAAUGAAGUGACAGACAGAGCCUGACUUCCUACUGUCAAAAAGAGCUGUACCUGACAAGAAAGUCCGUUUAACUUGGUAGCAGCAUGAUGGGCAUUUCCUUGGAUUAGUUGCAAAACCAUCUCAAUGGAUAAAGAAGAUGUGUACACAUGUGUAUACAAUGGAAUAUUCCUCAGCCAUUAGAAAUGACAAAUACCCACCAUUUGCUUCAACAUGGAUGGAACUGGAGGGUAUUAUGCUCAGUGAAGUAAGUCAAUUGGAGAAGGACAAAGAUUAUAUGGUCUCAUUCAUUUGGGGAAUAUAAAUAAUAGUGAAAGGGAAUAGAAGGGAAGGGAGAAGAAAUGUGUGGGAAAUAUCAGAAAGGGAGACAGAACAUGAAGACUCCUA